rnacentral:rRNA from 1 species
AUUGAACGCUGGCGGCAGGCCUAACACAUGCAAGUCGAACGAGUGGCGGACGGGUGAGUAAUGUCUGGGAAACUGCCUGAUGGAGGGGGAUAACUACUGGAAACGGUAGCUAAUACCGCAUACCAUCAGAUGUGCCCAGAUGGGAUUAGCUGGUUGGUGGGGUAACGGCCCACCAAGGCGACGAUCCGUAGCUGGUCUGAGAGGAUGAUCAGUCACACUGGAACUGAGACACGGUCCAGACUCCUACGGUAGGCAGCAGUGGGGAAUAUUGGACAAUGGGCGAAAGCCUGAUCCAGCCAUGCCGCGUGUAUGAAGAAGGCCUUCGGGUUGUAAAGCACUUUCAGCGGGGAGGCGUUACCAGCAGAAUAAGCACCGGCUAACUCCGUGCCAGCAGCCGCGGUAAUAC